GAUGAACGCUGGCGGCGUGCUUAACACAUGCAAGUCGAACGGAAAGGCCCAAGCUUGCUUGGGUACUCGAGUGGCGAACGGGUGAGUAACACGUGGGUGAUCUGCCCUGCACUUCGGGAUAAGCCUGGGAAACUGGGUCUAAUACCGGAUAGGACCACUUCUUGGAUGUUGUGGUGGAAAGUUUUUUCGGUGUGGGAUGAGCUCGCGGCCUAUCAGCUUGUUGGUGGGGUAAUGGCCUACCAAGGCGUCGACGGGUAGCCGGUCUGAGAGGGUGUACGGCCACAUUGGGACUGAGAUACGGCCCAGACUCCUACGGGAGGCAGCAGUGGGGAAUAUUGCACAAUGGGCGCAAGCCUGAUGCAGCGACGCCGCGUGGGGGAUGACGGACUUCGGGUUGUAAACUCCUUUCGCUAGGGACGAAGCGUUUUGUGACGGUACCUGGAGAAGAAGCACCGGCUAACUACGUG
rnacentral:rRNA from 1 species